UACCAGGGGAUAUUUGGUUUAUACCAUGGUGAUAACCGAGAGAGGCAAUUGCUAAGUUGUGACGCACUCAUACCUCUACUAGAUGCGAACAAUUCCGGAGAAGAAGAAGAAGUGGUUCGGACAAAGAUUUUAUUUAUAUUGACGGGAUUCUUAUAUUGAUGAAGUUGAAGAAGUCCAGGGACAAAUAAGCCAAGGCAAGCCAUCUUUUGAUCUCUGUUUUGGUGUCUAGUUGGAUGUCAUUUGUUGAUGUCCAAAGCACCUUGAAUUCUAUGUGUGUUAUUCUCUCUAUUUAUGUCAUCUAUGUGUGUUUCCAAGUGGGGUACUCCCUAGUGGUGAUACUCCACCUUUGUCUUGUGAUUAUGGGAUACAUGGCAUCAUGGCCGCGCUACUCCCAUUGGUUAUCAUGUAUGCCCAACUUGAGCAUGCAUAAUCUCAAGAAAAUAACUUACAUCACACCCACCCCCUUUGUAGUAUAGAGGUGUCUAUGUCAUGAUCUUGGUGUAUUCUCCAAUUGAGAGGAGUAUGCCGUGUACCCUAUUGGAGAGUAUGUUGGAUAGUAAUACUCCACUAUCUAAGUUGUAUAGUUACCACCACAAAUCUGAGAGUAUAUUCCUCCUUGUGUUGUCAUAA